UCCAGGAUUUAGCCAAAGCACCUCCACUGAAGAACGAGAGUGGACCGAUACCAGCAUAACUGGGGAUGAGACCUUUCGUCUCACGGCACUUGCCCGACGCGGGCAUCAGAAACACACACUGCGGUAUCCGGUGCGAUUCUCGAAUAAAACUACACAGAAGGAGAUGGAGACGUGUGCGGCACCGCUGCAGACGGGCACGCAUCCCUGGCGAGCAGAGGCACUUGUUACCUCUCAACCUCUACUGAUAAAUGAAUUCUGAUGCAGCAGAUCAUUAUCAAAUCUUGUGCAGUCCUGACGGAUUCAUAAAAGAUUUUAUUGGAUUUGCUUGCAAAGAGAUAAGCACAGACGACCAACACCUUGACCUGAAAACAUCACUUCACCUAAAAUUCUCACCGUGAUUUCUUCCUGGUGUCCCAAUCUAGAACCUAACUCUACCACCAAGACAGACAUUAUUAGCAACAUCUGCAGCUUCGAAUAGUUAAUCUUGUCAUU